GUGGGGAAUAUUGGACAAUGGGCGAAAGCCUGAUCCAGCCAUGCCGCGUGUGUGAAGAAGGUCUUCGGAUUGUAAAGCACUUUAAGUUGGGAGGAAGGGCAGUAAGUUAAUACCUUGCUGUUUUGACGUUACCGACAGAAUAAGCACCGGCUAACUUCGUGCCAGCAGCCGCGGUAAUACGAAGGGUGCAAGCGUUAAUCGGAAUUACUGGGCGUAAAGCGCGCGUAGGUGGUUUUGUAAGUUGAAGGUGAAAUCCCCGGGCUCAACCUGGGAACUGCCUCCAAAACUACUGAGCUAGAGUACGGUAGAGGGUAGUGGAAUUUCCUGUGUAGCGGUGAAAUGCGUAGAUAUAGGAAGGAACACCAGUGGCGAAGGCGACUACCUGGACUGAUACUGACACUGAGGUGCGAAAGCGUGGGGAGCAAACAGGAUUAGAUACCCGAGUAGUCC
rnacentral:rRNA from 1 species